UACGAAGGGGGCUAGCGUUGCUCGGAAUCACUGGGCGUAAAGGGUGCGUAGGCGGGUCUUUAAGUCAGGGGUGAAAUCCUGGAGCUCAACUCCAGAACUGCCUUUGAUACUGAGGAUCUUGAGUUCGGGAGAGGUGAGUGGAACUGCGAGUGUAGAGGUGAAAUUCGUAGACAUUCGCAAGAACACCAGUGGCGAAGGCGGCUCACUGGCCCGAUACUGACGCUGAGGCACGAAAGCGUGGGGAGCAAACAGG
rnacentral:rRNA from 1 species